rnacentral:lncRNA from 1 species
CGAACCUGUUCCACGAACCAAUCAUUCGACACAGAACCUGCUAAUCAGUUGUCGCAAGCCAGGGGGUCUGCAGCAUUUGCGUGUACGUUGCAUGUAUUGUAACUAGACAGAAAGUUGAUAGACCUAUGUUUGCCUGAAAUGCAACUAAGCAACGAACUCUACUUGAGAUAGGUUAAGAGUUUGUGAAGCCAUCUGUGUGUAAAGACCAACAAAACAAAGCCUUUUUGGACUGCGUGUGUAAAUGCAUUUCCGGCAUUGGCGGGAACAGACGGGCGCAAAAGAAAAACCCCCCCCCCCCUCCCCCCGGGUAUCGACCAGUGGCGAGAACCUGCCAGCCGGAAGAAGGGAGACCCCACUCCACCCACCACCCACUUCACCCAUAGCCAGCUCGUCCAGGGAAGGAUUACAAGCCCCCACACCAUGACAAGGCGGGACCGAGUUACGGGGGCGGAAAACGGUCAGCUAUCCGCUUGUUUACGCUGCGAGACGUCACAGAUUGCUAAAGCUCGAUCGUUGAUUCAUCUCUCUCUCUCUCUCUCUCUCUCUCUCGCUCUCUCUCUCUCUCUCUCUCA